rnacentral:lncRNA from 1 species
UCCUCCGCCACCACCACCAUCUUCACACCACCACUGCCAUCUACACACAACCACCGCCACAUAAUCACCGGGCGAAAGUCAAACUGACCAAAAAUCAAUACAAAUCAACAAGAACCAACUGAAAAUCACCUGCUGUACAAUAAAAAAUCACCACCGACGACUUUUGCAAAUCUGAGCAUAUUUUACAAAGAUCGCGAUAGCAACGAAGAGA